rfam:Bacillus phage G, complete genome.
GGGAUUGUUAAGGAUUCGACAGGGGAAAAUAGUAUAAGACAUGAUACUCGUAAAGCAUACGUUACAUGCUAAGUUAAAUAUAACUAACAACGAAUUACAAGUAGCCUAGUUAAUAGGUGCCAAAACAAUAGAGUUGCUCUAACAUCUAUUUGAGGUUCAAAGAUUUGAGCUAUUUCUUACUUUAGAAUAAAGUAAGUGGUGGAGCCUAGAGAAAACGCUGUAGAAACUAACUAUUCAAAUUGUAAAUGGUAUCAAACAAGUGUCUAUAUGAAAGUCUUCUGGACGCGGGUUCGACUCCCGCCAGUUCCAUAU